UUUAAGUGGGUGUAUAACUGGAAAGGGUGCAUUGUCCCAGUCAGAGCUCUGUUCUUUUGCCACUGAAAAAAAUAAACGAGCAAGUUUUGAACAUUAUUUCAGCAAUGGAAGGAGUAGUGAUACGACACUGGGUGGAAACACCAGUACGUUAUCAGGAAUAUUUUGCAAAUCUAGAUUUGGAAGCAUGCAAAUUAAAUCACUCUCUCUACGCCUUACCAGGCCCAGCCAAGGCUGCAGCAGCAAGGAACAUGCAUACAGCCAAGAGUACAGCUGAAACAGAGCAGAACAGCACAGAGGAAGAAAAGCCUACAUUUCAAGUCUUAUUAGAUGUUGUGCAGUUCCGUCCUGAAGAUGUUAUCAUUCAAACCUUUGAAGGCUGGCUCCUGAUCAAAGCUCAGCAUGGACCCAGGAUGGAUGAACAUGGCUUUAUAACCAGAAGAUUUACUAGACAAUACAAAUUGCCAGAUGGAAUCGAAACAAAAGAUCUGACUGCUCUCUUCUGCCAUGAUGGCAUUUUGGUUAUUGAAACUAAGACCCUUGGCAGGAAAUGAAUUAUAGACCUGGUGAGACAAUAUUGUUCCUACCGUAACUUGAACAAUCUUUACUGUGGUGCUGUGCAUGUAGAAUUGUGGCUCCAGUGAAGAUAAAGUUAUAGGACCUGGUCCAGGAAUGUCGAUGCUAAAGAAUGCCUUCCGCCCCCUCCCGCCAGCUAUAGUCUCUGUCAGAGAACCUACUGGAGGGACUGAAAGAGCAGAGAACUACCUAAACUGAAUUCCAGAGCCUGUAUCCACUCCUCUAUGAGGUGUAUCAUUUCAUCAGGGACAUUAAGUUGAGGAAAGUGAUUUGAAUACUUCAUUGCUAAAACCAAAUCCAAUCAACCUUUUAUGGUAUCAUCUUGAUAUCAUUCCCUCUACUACAGAAAUUCAGAGAUGAUUGCCAAUGCUUAUAUAGCCAAAAGGACACCAUCCAUUUACAAGACAGAAGUUUGAACAGGCUUGGAAACCGCCAAAAUUUUCAGAAGUACAAAAUCACUUUAAGAAGAAAAGCUAUCCUAAAGAAUACUCCAAAACUGUCUAUUUAGUACUGAACAACGUGACCUGCUGCUGUGGGAGUGGAGGAACGGAGGAAGGAUGAAAAACCAGGCAGGAAGAGAAUGGAACAAAACGCUCCAUGCUACAACAUUUUGUUGCAGGUUCUACUUGUACUGUCCUGUUUUUCAUUGCUGUGACACUUGUCUUCCUCCACAGAUUCUACCUACUUUUUUCUUAUCCUGACUUGUGAGGCAAUCAGCAUGGUCUUUCUGCAUCUACUGAAAGUGGACAGGGGUGGAGGAGCAGAUCUCAUCUGGAGUUAGAUAACUGUGUCCAGCUUCAAAGUGUUUUUCCAAGCAAUCCUAUGGUCUCUCCCUGGGACAUACUUUCCUAGGACUGAUCUCUAAAUUACAAAUCCAUCACAAAGACUAGUUAUACUGUUCAAAUUACUGAAAUUCCAGCCUGGAUAUGUUUCCCUUCCAUUUAACUUUCCUUUUGCAAUUUGAAGCGGGCUAUCAGUAGAGAUCAGAAGAAAUGGAGUAGUCUUCAUAGCCAAUAAAGAGUAGGAAAAGCAGUACUGGGAUUCAACAUCACAAUAGUCCAAGUCUAGGCCCCAACCACUGGUGCUG